rnacentral:rRNA from 1 species
AUACAUGCAAGUCGAACGAGUUCUCGUUGAUGAUCGGUGCUUGCACCGAGAUUCAACAUGGAACGAGUGGCGGACGGGUGAGUAACACGUGGGUAACCUGCCCUUAAGUGGGGGAUAACAUUUGGAAACAGAUGCUAAUACCGCAUAGAUCCAAGAACCGCAUGGUUCUUGGCUGAAAGAUGGCGUAAGCUAUCGCUUUUGGAUGGACCCGCGGCGUAUUAGCUAGUUGGUGAGGUAACGGCUCACCAAGGCGAUGAUACGUAGCCGAACUGAGAGGUUGAUCGGCCACAUUGGGACUGAGACACGGCCCAAACUCCUACGGGAGGCAGCAGUAGGGAAUCUUCCACAAUGGACGCAAGUCUGAUGGAGCAACGCCGCGUGAGUGAAGAAGGCUUUCGGGUCGUAAAACUCUGUUGUUGGAGAAGAAUGGUCGGCAGAGUAACUGUUGUCGGCGUGACGGUAUCCAACCAGAAAGCCACGGCUAACUACGUGCCAGCAGCCGCGGUAAUACGUAGGUGGCAAGCGUUAUCCGGAUUUAUUGGGCGUAAAGCGAGCGCAGGCGGUUUUUUAAGUCUGAUGUGAAAGCCCUCGGCUUAACCGAGGAAGCGCAUCGGAAACUGGGAAACUUGAGUGCAGAAGAGGACAGUGGAACUCCAUGUGUAGCGGUGAAAUGCGUAGAUAUAUGGAAGAACACCAGUGGCGAAGGCGGCUGUCUGGUCUGUAACUGACGCUGAGGCUCGAAAGCAUGGGUAGCGAACAGGAUUAGAUAC